ACGCUGAGCCACGCGCACAAUACAUGAUGAAGAUGACGUUUUGUUCGUUCGGCUCGCGUUA
ensembl:miRNA